rnacentral:rRNA from 1 species
AUGAACGCUAGCGACAGGCCUAACACAUGCAAGUCGAGGGGCAGCACAAGGAGCAAUCUGAGGUGGCGACCGGCGCACGGGUGAGUAACACGUAUGCAACCUGCCUGUAAGCGGGGAAUAACCCGUUGAAAGACGGACUAAUACCGCAUAAUACUAAAUUACUGCAUGGUAAUUUAUUUAAACAUUUAUGGCUUACAGAUGGGCAUGCGCAUGAUUAGCUAGUUGGAGAGGUAACGGCUCCCCAAGGCAACGAUCAUUAGGGGUUCUGAGAGGAAGGUCCCCACACUGGUACUGAGACACGGACCAGACUCCUACGGGAGGCAGCAGUGAGGAAUAUUGGUCAAUGGACGAGAGUCUGAACCAGCCAAGUCGCGUGCAGGAAGAAUGUCCUAAUGGAUUGUAAACUGCUUUUGCAGGGGAAUAAAGUGCAUCACGUGUGAUGUUUUGUAUGUACUCUGCGAAUAAGGAUCGGCUAACUCCGUGCCAGCAGCCGC